GGAGGGGUGGCCGAGUGGUUAAAGGCAGCAGACUGUAAAUCUGCCCCGCAGAGCGGUACGCAGGUUCGAAUCCUGCCCCCUCCACCA
rnacentral:tRNA from 3 species